rnacentral:rRNA from 1 species
UACAGAGGGUGCAAGCGUUAAUCGGAAUUACUGGGCGUAAAGGGUGCGUAGGUGGUUAGGUAAGUUAAGUGUGAAAGCCCCGGGCUCAACCUGGGAACUGCAUUUGUGACUGCAUAGCUAGAGUACGGUAGAGGGGGAUGGAAUUCCGCGUGUAGCAGUGAAAUGCGUAGAUAUGCGGAGGAACACCGAUGGCGAAGGCAAUCCCCUGGACCUGUACUGACGCUCAUGCACGAAAGCGUGGGGAGCA